GACGAACGCUGGCGGCGCGCCUAAUACAUGCAAGUCGAGCGAGAACCAGGGCUUGCCCUGGGGAGAGCGGCGAACGGGUGCGUAUCACGUGAGCAACCUGCCUCAGAGACCGGGAUAACUCGAGGAAACUCGGGCUAAUACCGGAUGCCCUCGGUGGACCGCAUGGUCCGGCGAGGAAAUGGAUUCCGCUCUGAGAUGGGCUCGCGGCCUAUCAGCUUGUUGGUGGGGUAACGGCCUACCAAGGCGACGACGGGUAGCUGGUCUGAGAGGACGAUCAGCCACACUGGGACUGAGACACGGCCCAGACUCCUACGGGAGGCAGCAGUAGGGAAUCUUGCGCAAUGGGGGAAACCCUGACGCAGCGACGCCGCGUGCGGGAUGAAGGCCUUCGGGUCGUAAACCGCUUUCAGCAGGGACGAAAUUGACGGUACCUGCAGAAGAAGGCCCGGCCAACUACGUGCCAGCAGCCGCCGUAA
rnacentral:rRNA from 1 species